rnacentral:tRNA from 1 species
ACCCAGCUGGCUCAGUUGGUGAAGCAUGUAACUCUCGAUCUUGGGGUUGUGAGUUCGAGCCCCACGUUGGGUG